AGUUGACGUUGGCAGAAAGUCAAGUGCACUGUUGGGCAUCGUUUGUUUGUUUAUUUAAUUACUCUCGCUCUUUUAAUUCGACGUGAUACACCCCAGUCAUAAUUAUCAUGAUUAUCGUAAAAAUGUUAAUCGUUUUGAGGUCCACUGAGGCAAAGAGACGUUUAAAACGACAUGGAAAUAAGAAAUACCCUUACCAGAAAGUGGCGGAGAUUGUCGUAAAAAGGGCCAGGCCAAAGGAACAAGUAAAGGAAUCAAACCCAUGACUACCUGCUCGCUGCUUCCGAGGCAGAUGUCAAUACUGCUGCUUAUAGUAAUGUGCAUCACCUCAUUUUUAAGCCUCAUCAGACCAUGCCACCGAGACAAGCUCCCACCGUCGCUGAUGUCACCGCAGUCAUCCUCAGCACCGGGGCUCAUCAGAGACUUACAUCCUCGCCUUGUGUGACAUUAGCAAUUACCACCUUUAUGGAAAGGUCAGGAUAUGGUUUUAAAAUGAGACCCGGGCCAUUGGCUGGCUGCUGUGGUGGCAUGUUGUCAUACAUUUAUUGGCUAUCAAAUGAGGCCGCUGCACGUCAUGCUGAGUAGAAAGCCUUUUGAUUCUGUCAUUAAAAAGCCAAGGUUAAAGUCUGCCUGAAGAAUCGUGUCUCUCUCCGUCGUGUCUUUUAGUCAGAGGUUAAGGUCUUGGUUUAGUCAUUUCAGUCUUAAAAGUGGAAAUACAUACGACAUCUUGUUGUCAUUGAACUCGAGGAGGAAAACACACCACCCUGACUGACAGGAGCUCAGCUAACGGUUGUGAAUAACCUUCGUCUUUUAAAGACAGUCAUUCCUCCUCCAGUUUCAUCCUGUUUAUUGUCAUCCUUGAUAAGACUUCUGCAGCUGUUGACCAUGAACUGUGUCUGCGAGCAUUUUGGAACAUCUGACAUUUAGCACGUGAAAACAACGGGCCUUAAAAUGGAUUCAAACCUUAAUGACUACGAUGUAGUUUGACGAUAGCCGUCGUGGCAUCAGCGUUACAUCAGCGCGACAUUUUAAUC